GGGCUGGCCGCGGUGCUUCUGGUGGCUGUGAGCAGAGCCCAGGUGCAGCAGGAGCCGGCGGCACAGAUCACCGAGGGCACCGAAAUCAACAUCACCUGCUCACACCCCAACAUACAGGUCAGCGAAGUCAUCCACUGGUACCGCCAGCUCCCGGGCCGAGGACCCGCAUUCCUCGUCAGUGCCUUGAAGGGUUCCAAGGAGGUGUCGGACCCGGAGGGGAGGCUGUGGGUUUCGGCAGACCGGCGCUCCAGCGCCCUGUGUCUCGCCCGGCCCCGGCUCGGCGACGCGGCGGUGUAUUUCUGCGCGUUGGUAGCACAGGGAGACGAGCCGGGGCUGCGGCCGGGCACGAACCGCUUAGGGCGGGGCGGGGGCACAGUGCUGUCCGGGCCCGCAGGGGGCGCUGCCUGCAUGGCCGCCAAACUCCAUCCUGACCAGGGUGCACCUCCCUGAGUUCUCGACAGAAAUGAGCACUGCAGCCAUAGCAGUCAUUGACUGAGGCCCAUGUCAGUCAGACAGAGUUACUUUUGAGGUGGACAAGACGGCAUUACACGCAACACAAGCUGUGUUUGACAACGGAAAGACAUUCACACAGUUCUAUUCCAUCUCCUACUCUCUGCUCCUUCCCCAGUGCAGUACAUAUGAGAGCAGAAGAGCCCUGUUCUUACGAGCCCACAGGGUUGCUUAUUCCCAUGACCUUCCACACAGUCAGAGCUUUUCCUCAGCAUUGCCAAGGCUGUGUUCUCCCUUGUGUAGGUAGCUGUAGGCAUAAACACUGCAAUCAACGGCCAAUAGUUGCUUCCUCUGCCACUGCCAGGAAUAUCUUC